rnacentral:misc_RNA from 1 species
AAAAUGGUAACUUGUGUGUGAAAUCUCGGCUUUCUGAUGGAUAAUCAUUAUACUCAUCAGGAAUAUUUAUCUAGUUGCCAUUUACCAGUUUCCAAUAUUGAUUUGGUGAGCUUUAUCCAAGUUUUAGAUCAGUGUUGGCUAUUUAAGUAAUUGGUUCAUGAGUGUUUCUUUCUCUUACUUUGGGUUUGAAACUUACUGGAUUUU